rnacentral:lncRNA from 1 species
ACACCAUAUAAAUCAUCUUUAAUCAAUACCUAACAAUGAUUUUGUUGAGCAUUAUUUUCCAGUGUUAGGUGCUGUUUACAUGAAUCCGGAUUGACUUUCUAUCCGGAUCGAAAUGUGAAGUCAAUCCGUGUUUACAUGGAAAAUGGGUUCGAGGAUUGGAAUUUACGCGGGAAAUUUCAAUUCCAAGAUGGCGAAUGAUGUAAAUAUCAUAGCAGUAGUUUUCUUUUCUGCUCUUUCCGCGCUAAUACAAUCACAGUUAAUAGACUAAGAUAACUGUGAUACAAUUAAACACGUGCAUGAAGCUACUGAUUUUGCAAAACGUCAUUUUAAGAAAGAGAAAAGUAGCCAUGUUAUCUUAUUCGGUCUGAGUUUCGAUUCGUGUUUACAUGGAUCGAAGCCAAAUUUCGAUCUGGAUUGAAAUCUCGAUUCGGAAUGAGAUUAGGAUCGAGUUGUAACUCAUUCCGGACUCAUGUAAACAUUUAAUAGGGUUUGUAUUAAAAUGGAAUGAGUUCAUUCCGGAUUGAAAGUCAAUCCGGAUUCAUGUAAACAGCACCUUAACCAAGUCUGGUUAAGGUGCAGUUAAGGUGUUGUUAUGUUCUUAAUUAACCAAGCCUGGUUAAGGUGUUGUUAUGGUCGUAACUGUCGCGAAUGUGUUGUAACUGUCGUCUGCAGAGUCGUGUUCGCGACUAAAUGAAAACAUGAAAAAGUCUUGUCGCGACACGCUGGCAACAGUUCACGACAGUUACAAUAGUGUCGUUGAGGUAGACUCGAGUUCUUUUGCGACGACAGUUGCGACAGGCUAAAAAAGUGUCGUGACUGUUAUGUUUUAAUGGAACAGAAAAACGAUAGCGUGGCAACAGUUUGUCUUUUUAAAACUGCCGCCAGCUUCCUGUACGAUCACUGGGUACAGGCGUAAAAAUUGAAAAAAGCAACAACUUGUUCCAGGUUGAUAUCAACAGGUGCAAACAAUGUUGUGCGGCCCACUAUGAACAGUAUUGUCAACAUGUUGUUACAGCGUUGUUCAACGGACGACUUGCGCUUUAGACUAAAUUUUAAUCUAAGUAAGAACAACGAAAUCUAUCACCACAGCUGGAAAGAGCGUCUUGGAAUUAGUAAUAUUACAAAGUUUGAUUGCGAAAUGUUGUAAAAUACGGAAAAUA